AGCGUACACGGUGGAUGCCCUGGCAGUCAGAGGCGAUGAAGGACGUGCUAAUCUGCGAAAAGCGUCGGUAAGGUGAUAUGAACCGUUAUAACCGGCGAUGUCCGAAUGGGGAAACCCAGUGCAAUUCGUUGCACUAUCGUUAACUGAAUACAUAGGUUAACGAGGCGAACCGGGGGAACUGAAACAUCUAAGUACCCCGAGGAAAAGAAAUCAACCGAGAUUCCCCCAGUAGCGGCGAGCGAACGGGGAGCAGCCCAGAGUCUGAAUCAGCUUGUGUGUUAGUGGAACGGUCUGGAAAGUCCGACGGUACAGGGUGAUAGUCCCGUACACCAAAAUGCACAGGCUGUGAACUCGAAGAGUAGGGCGGGACACGUGGUAUCCUGUCUGAAUAUGGGGGGACCAUCCUCCAAGGCUAAAUACUCCUGACUGACCGAUAGUGAACCAGUACCGUGAGGGAAAGGCGAAAAGAACCCCGGCGAGGGGAGUGAAAAAGAACCUGAAACCGUGUACGUACAAGCAGUGGGAGCACCUUCGGGUGUGACUGCGUACCUUUUGUAUAAUGGGUCAGCGACUUAUAUUCUGUAGCAAGGUUAACCGUAUAGGGGAGCCGCAGGGAAACCGAGUCUUAACUGGGCGUUAAGUUGCAGGGUAUAGACCCGAAACCCGGUGAUCUAGCCAUGGGCAGGUUGAAGGUUGGGUAACACUAACUGGAGGACCGAACCGACUAAUGUUGAAAAAUUAGCGGAUGACUUGUGGCUGGGGGUGAAAGGCCAAUCAAACCGGGAGAUAGCUGGUUCUCCCCGAAAGCUAUUUAGGUAGCGCCUCGUGAACUCAUCUUCGGGGGUAGAGCACUGUUUCGGCUAGGGGGUCAUCCCGACUUACCAACCCGAUGCAAACUACGAAUACCGAAGAAUGUUAUCACGGGAGACACACGGCGGGUGCUAACGUCCGUCGUGAAGAGGGAAACAACCCAGACCGCCAGCUAAGGUCCCAAAGUCAUGGUUAAGUGGGAAACGAUGUGGGAAGGCACAGACAGCCAGGAUGUUGGCUUAGAAGCAGCCAUCAUUUAAAGAAAGCGUAAUAGCUCACUGGUCGAGUCGGCCUGCGCGGAAGAUGUAACGGGGCUAAACCAUGCACCGAAGCUGCGGCAGCGACACUAUGUGUUGUUGGGUAGGGGAGCGUUCUGUAAGCCUGCGAAGGUGACCUGUGAGGGUUGCUGGAGGUAUCAGAAGUGCGAAUGCUGACAUAAGUAACGAUAAAGCGGGUGAAAAGCCCGCUCGCCGGAAGACCAAGGGUUCCUGUCCAACGUUAAUCGGGGCAGGGUGAGUCGACCCCUAAGGCGAGGCCGAAAGGCGUAGUCGAUGGGAAACAGGUUAAUAUUCCUGUACUUGGUGUUACUGCGAAGGGGGGACGGAGAAGGCUAUGUUAGCCGGGCGACGGUUGUCCCGGUUUAAGCAUGUAGGCUGAUUGUCCAGGCAAAUCCGGAUAAUCAAGGCUGAGGUGUGAUGACGAGGYACUACGGUGCUGAAGUAACAAAUGCCCUGCUUCCAGGAAAAGCCUCUAAGCAUCAGGUAACAUUAAAUCGUACCCCAAACCGACACAGGUGGUCAGGUAGAGAAUACCAAGGCGCUUGAGAGAACUCGGGUGAAGGAACUAGGCAAAAUGGUGCCGUAACUUCGGGAGAAGGCACGCUGGUGUGUAGGUGAAGCCCCUGCGGGUGGAGCUGAGACCAGUCGAAGAUACCAGCUGGCUGCAACUGUUUAUUAAAAACACAGCACUGUGCAAACACGAAAGUGGACGUAUACGGUGUGACGCCUGCCCGGUGCCGGAAGGUUAAUUGAUGGGGUUAUCCGUAAGGAGAAGCUCUUGAUCGAAGCCCCGGUAAACGGCGGCCGUAACUAUAACGGUCCUAAGGUAGCGAAAUUCCUUGUCGGGUAAGUUCCGACCUGCACGAAUGGCGUAAUGAUGGCCAGGCUGUCUCCACCCGAGACUCAGUGAAAUUGAACUCGCUGUGAAGAUGCAGUGUACCCGCGGCAAGACGGAAAGACCCCGUGAACCUUUACUAUAGCUUGACACUGAACAUUGAGCCUUGAUGUGUAGGAUAGGUGGGAGGCUUUGAAGCGUGGACGCCAGUCUGCGUGGAGCCAACCUUGAAAUACCACCCUUUAAUGUUUGAUGUUCUAACGUUGGCCCCUGACCGGGGUUGCGGACAGUGUCUGGUGGGUAGUUUGACUGGGGCGGUCUCCUCCCAAAGCGUAACGGAGGAGCACGAAGGUUAGCUAAUCCUGGUCGGACAUCAGGAGGUUAGUGCAAUGGCAUAAGCUAGCUUGACUGCGAGCGUGACGGCGCGAGCAGGUGCGAAAGCAGGUCAUAGUGAUCCGGUGGUUCUGAAUGGAAGGGCCAUCGCUCAACGGAUAAAAGGUACUCCGGGGAUAACAGGCUGAUACCGCCCAAGAGUUCAUAUCGACGGCGGUGUUUGGCACCUCGAUGUCGGCUCAUCACAUCCUGGGGCUGAAGUAGGUCCCAAGGGUAUGGCUGUUCGCCAUUUAAAGUGGUACGCGAGCUGGGUUUAGAACGUCGUGAGACAGUUCGGUCCCUAUCUGCCGUGGGCGCUGGAGAAUUGAGGGGGGCUGCUCCUAGUACGAGAGGACCGGAGUGGACGCAUCACUGGUGUUCGGGUUGUCAUGCCAAUGGCACUGCCCGGUAGCUAAAUGCGGAAGAGAUAAGUGCUGAAAGCAUCUAAGCACGAAACUUGCCCCGAGAUGAGUUCU
rnacentral:rRNA from 1 species